GCCCAGAUGACACAGGUCUUAUUGGCUGGUGGCAAGGACUUGGGCUUUUGUUCUGAAUGUGAUGGCAAUCAGUCACAGUGGUCAGGUUUGUGAGUGGAGCAACUGGCAAUCUGAUAUGCUGUGUAGAAGGAUCACUUUGCAUAUUGUAUGAACAGACUAUUGGGGAACAAAAGUAGAAGUUAGGGGUCAAGUAGGUGACUGUUUCAUUAGUCCAGACAAAAGAAUUUAGGAGAACAUUGAUCUCUAACUUUCUGGCAAAUAGUCUGUAUGACUUGGUACCUUUCCUUUGUUCCUCUUGGGCCUGAGGAAGAAAAAUCCAAAGGGAAUCAAUCCCCUGUGAGGUCAUUGGUGUGGAUUGAUUGAAGGUAUUGCAACCUAAAUAGAUUUCCUAAGAGUCUGAGCCACUUGAUCACACAAUUGAUUCUUGCUUUCUGGACCUGCUCACGUCCUGUCUCAAAUGUAUUGCCUCUGUGGUACCACGGCAUGCUGCUGAAUUUAUGACUUGCUAUUUUAGCAAACACAAAGCUGUUAAGGGACUCUCGGUUGUAUUGUUAGUGGCAUCCAGUCCUCAGGCCCAUGGUCUCCACUGGGGCCUAUUAACUGAGCUCUUCUUUGAGAGGGGAGUAAGUUCUCUGCUGUCAGGGCCUGCCCCUACUCUAGAAUGCCCAGAAUUUGUACUGUAGGUUUCCUCUUGGGGCUUGCCAGAGACUACAUAGCAACUUGAUCAGCCACAAAUAUCUUCCAUACGGUCAUACCUGCUGAAUCAUACAACCCAAGGGAAUAGAGCACUUAUACCACAGCUUGGAUCUGCUGCCGAGCUUUUUUUUGAAUGAGACGCUGCAAGAAACUGUAGCCUUGAGUUAUCUGAUUAGUAAGUGGGAGCAGUUUUCUAAAGUCCAGCAUAUAUUGCCCCCCAAAUUCCAGGAGCCCUACUAAAUGCUAUGCCUUUUGAUUAGUGGUAGGAGGUAUAAGGUACAAUAAUUUGUCUUUUACUUUAGAGGGAGUGCCCCAGGCCAUUGAAUCCCUGGAAACUUCACUGAUGUGACAGGUGCCUGAUGUCAGGUUUGUGGCUGGCCCUCUGGUAUGCACCUGUCUUAUCAGAGCAUCUUGGGUUCUUGUCACUGCUUAUCAAGUUCAAUUCGCAAGUUGUCAAUAUAGUGAGUCAGCAUGAUUGUACUGUAGGCAGUCAGGGUGAUUAAGUUCUUUAGAGACUAUACUUUGGAGGAGACUGGGAGUGCGUGAACACAGCCCCGAGGUAAGGAAAGGAUUGUGGACUAUUUGCCUGGUAGAGUAAAGGUGAUCUUUGUACACUAGGGUAUGACUUUCUUUGGCAGGAACAUGAUUCUGCCUUUCACAAUCCUAAUUCAGAGACUUCCUGCUAUGAACAUUCCAUAGAACAGGACUCUACUAGCAAAUAUUAUGAAUCUGUCUACUUGGAACAUGAACAUCAACAUGAUUACAAGCAGAUUAGUCUGGGUCAUUUGUCUUCUUUCCUUUCAGAAAUAGAAAAUGGCCUACUGCUUUAACUCCUUCCUUCCCAGAUUGAUUGGCCUUAUAGUAGAGGAACCAGAAACUGGGGGACUUAGUUGUUAUCUGUGAUAUCACACUUACUUACUUCUAUUCUCUAUGACUUAUUAACCUAUCUGUAAGCUCUCUCUCCAUGCAUCCACCCAUCCACUCAUCCAUUCACUCAUGCACCCAUCCAUCUACCCUUCACCUAUCCACACACUUACCCAUCCAUCCAUCUAGCCAGCUAGUCACCCCUUCAUCCAUGCAUCUACAUAAAUUCAUUCUUAUAAAUUAGUUAGGAUAAUGUACAAAGAUUUUAGUGUAAAUAUUAAGCAAAAAUUAUCCAUAAAACUAAGUAAAACCUGUCUUUAGGAGAGAGAGGCUAUAAGCCAGGGACAAGGGGUAAAAAGCCCCAGUCUUGGAGGGACGGGGAAAGUCAGGACCUGAACCUCAUGGAGGGGAUGAAAGAAGUCAUUUAAGGAGAGGCACUCACCUGAGAGUUCUGUGCUUGGCUAUGUUCCCGUGGGCAUGGAAAACUCUCACCAUCUGGGAGUCUCCAUCUUAAACUGGGCUUUGUUUUCUUUUCUCUUUCCUCAUCUCUUCUUUAUUAUUGCUAUUCUUUACCAGGUAAAUGCGGAUGUAGGUUGGAUGAAUAAAUCUACCUUGUUAAACACCUUUCCUCAUUUUAUUUUUGCUCUUGCCAAUUUUCUUUGGGAAAACUAUUUAUUAAAAAGGAAAUAACUAAGAACUUCAGUAAGGCACUUUAAAAUUAAAACUUCGUAUACUAAUUCCAAGCUCCCUUAAAAAUUAAUUUUAUUUAUGGAAUAUUUCAAACAUGCUGAAAAGUCAAAAGAAAGAAUGUAUAUAUCAUAUACCCAUCACUGAGACUCAACAGAUGUCAAACUGUUGAUGUAUUUACCUGAAUUUUCUCUUUCCUCUUCUGUUUUUUACUUUGUGGGAGAAAAACAUUACAAAUGGAUCAAAACCUCACCUUCCUUUCCUGUCUUCCUCAGACUUCAGGAGUGUGUUUUAAUCUUCCCCAAGCAUGUAUUUAUGCUUUUAUUAUACAUUUAUGCAUUUGUGAAUACUGUAUUUUGCUACUUGCUUUCUGAAUCUCGCAUCAUCUUUUUCAGGUCGGUUCAUGUUGACUCAUGAGCUGUGUUUUUAAUUUUAAUAGUUAUUUAGAAUUUCAUUGCACACUUGAAUUAGUUUAUCUAUUUUCUGGUUUAUGGACAGUUAGAUUUUUCCAGUUUUUCUAUUAUAAGCUAUAGGGUAAUGAACAUAAAGAACUCAAUGUUUCUUUGAGAUUAUUUGUGACAUCUUUCUAGGGUAGGUAAUAGGAAAUUUCUGAUCAUUGUGGGUCAUUAUCUAUCUAUCUAUCUAUCUAUCUAUCUAUCUAUCUAUCUAUUUAUCUAUCUAUCUAUCAUUUAUCAAUUUUCACCUAUCAUCUAUCUACCUACCUACCUACUACCUAUACACAUCUUCAACUUUGCUAGAUAUUAUCCAGUUUCUCUUCGAAGAGAUUCAACCAAUUUACGCUCUACCCACAGUAUAAAAGAAUGGCUCUAUGGAUCUGGCAAGUAGAUUGUACCAAACCAGAUACAAUGGUGAAAGAGGCCAUACUUGCCACUGGCCACUGUUUGAAGAAUUCCAAUUUUUUUGGCACCCCCACUUCUGAGUUGCUCAAAACACUCUGGGCAUGACCAAAUGCUAUGCCUCUUAAAAAAUUUCCUACCUUCUCAAGCAUCAGUUUAGGUUUAUUAGGUAUUUUAAAUAUUUUGCUAUUCUGAUGGUAUAAAUUGCAUUUGAUGUUGCCAGUGUCACUUAUUUUAAUAGCUCUAUGGAAUUUCCAAUGAAUAGAAUUUCUCUGAUUAUUAAUGAGGUUAAUCAGUGUUCUAUACAUUCAUUGUCCAUUUGGUUGUUGUCUUCUAUGAUUUGCCAGUUCUUAUCAAUUAUACAUUUUUCCCAUGGAUUGUCUUUCUUCAUAAAUUUUAAUUUGUGAGACAUAUUAAUUCUUCUUGGAGUCUGUGACUUGCCUUUUUACUUUGUUGUGACUUUUUUCAUAAAGUUUUAUAUUUUAAUUAAUUUAAAUUAAUUUAAGUUAAUACUUUGUCGUUCAGCUUUGGAUUUUUGGGUCCUGUUCAAGAAAUUAUAUCCUGAAGUCAUAAAGAUAGUGUCCAAAAUUUUAGAGAUUUGUUCCUUACACUUAUGAAUUACUUUUUAUAUAUGAGCUGGAGACCUACUUUUGUGUUUUGUUAUGUGGAUUACUGAAGUUUUCAGCACCACUUACUGAAUCGUGUAUUUUUUCCCCAUUUGAUUUGUAAUAUCUGCUCUGUCAGGUACUGGCUCCGGUACGCAUAUGGGCUCCCAGAGCCAGUGUCACAUUGCUUAAAUUAUUAUAGUCUCAUAGUAAGUCGAUAUCUAUAAAAGGAACCCUCAUUUAUUCUUUUCCUUCAAAACCAGUUUGGCCAUUUUUGGCCUAGUGAGUGAGUUUGAGGAUCGAUUUUUCAAGUUCCUUAAAAAGCUCUGCUGACAUUUUGAUUGAAAUUAUACUGAGUACAAUGAAUAGAUUUUCUAGUAUUAGAUGAUCUUUAGGGUCCUGGUACAAUCCUUGUUUCACCGUGUCGUAUUGUAUUUGCCUGAUUUUGGUUUUAUGGUAGUAAAAGUCUCAUUAUAUGAGUUGCAGAGAUUUUCCUCUUUAUUGUCGACAACAGGGAUUGAUGAACUAUGGCCUGCUCACUGAAUUUAGUCCAUUGCCUGUUUUUGUAAGUAAAGUUCUGUUGGAACCCAGCUUUGCCCAUUUGUCUAGGUAUUGCCUGUGGCUGCUCUUGUGUGACAUCACAGUUCCAGCAAAGAUUGGGUGGCCUGUAUUUGAAAGUAGAAAAAGUGAGUAAAUCCAAAAUAAGUAGGAGGAAGGAAAUAAUAAAACCCAAAGUAAAAAUUGAUGAAAUAAAAAGAGGAGAAAAUAGAGAACACCAAGAGAACCAAAAGCUAAUUCUUGAAACUUAUUAAUGAAAAAGAUAAACUUCUAGUAAGAUUAAUCACAAAAAUCAUGGGAAAAAUAAACAUCAUGAAGAAUGGAACAGGGCACAUAAAAAGGAAUGCUACAUUCAGGGAUAUAAAAAUCACAAUAGAAUGUAAACAACGGCAGUCUAAUCAAAUUUGAAAAGUUGGAUGAAAUUCAUGUUUUAUUUAAGAGGUAAAAUUACUCAAAGUACUUGUUUUGACUCAAGAAUGAAUAUGAAAUGCAGGAGAUAUAUAACCAUUAAGGAAAUUGAAACUAUAGUUAAGGUUAUAUACUUAACACACACACACACAAAGACACACACACACACAUUUACUAGGACCAGAUGAUUUUAUAAGCAAGCUCUUCCAAAUUCCAGGAACAGUCUUAGAAUGUGUUUUAGACUAGAGGUUGACAAAUUAAGGGUAUUUUUACCCAAUUACUCUUUGAAAAUUUCUUAUUAUUAAUUUCUAAGCUCGAACCUUCUUGGGCUAUACUGACAGUAUAAAUUAACUCCAAGACUAGGAGGCUUUUCAUGGCUUAUAAAUCCCCGUGGAGCCCUCCCUCCCUAUAUCCCUCCAAAAUCCAGGUGGAGACAAAGUUUCUUGUCAUCAGCCUGUGACAGUAAGUAGAUUAUUUUAAGCUCACUUUUCGCCAAGGUGCAAUUUUUUUAUAAAUUUGUUUCUAACACUGUCUUGUUUAGGUUCAGGGCCUCAUCUCUCAUCUGGGACAAAUCAGAGCCAAAGCCCUUAGUUGCUGGGACAUUCAUCUUUCCAUCCUGUGCAAGACAUCUGCUACAUCAGCUCAGAGAUACUAACAAUGAAAACACUCGGCCAAAGGUCAAGAGGUUAUAAUCUCAGCUUUCCAUUAACUAGCUGCAAACUGGCUAAUUACUGCCUCUCAGCUCCAGGGCUCCCAUCUGUGAAAGGGAAGCCAGACGGUUCUAAAUCUUCACCUCUUCAGACCCUGAGGAGCUGCUAAGGGGCCAGCGAGGCGGCCAAGGGGGUUGAAGUCCCUAGGAAGCUGGAGGUUUGAAGCUGCUAUUUGACAGUGAAGCCACUGCGGAGUAGAGGGGGGCUGUGGAUUGGAGACAGCAGGUCCAGUUAAGACAUCAAGCUGCACCUAGAGCCAUUUGCACUCCAGGACAUUUUAGUCUCACUAGGCAAGAAACCACUCUCCUCCCUCCCUAACACACAAUCACAUAUUCACAUGCAAACACACGUGCAUACAGACACGCUCAUGACACACUAUGGUUUUUUUCAAUUUGAUUUGGCUUUUACUCUACCUACAACUAAACAUUCUAAUCCCUUCAUUUGACAGACAGGGAAACUCAGACCUAGGGACUGAAAAUGACUUAGCCAAGAUCAUUCAAGUGAGUAGAUGGAUCAUGGAGCCCAGACCAGGACCCAGGCCCUGAAUCCGGAUGUGCAUUUUCACCAUGGUCUUAGAUGAGGGCCUGUCUACAUGAUUUUGGAAGGUAAAAGUGGCCCCCUUCGUAUUUGGUAGCUCUGGCUGGGGAAUGGUCACAUAGGUUAAAUACAGGGUUGGGUAGCAUUACACUAUUGGAGUAAAAUUGACCAUUAGAAGGUUGAAAUUGAAAAACUAUUUUAGAAUAAGUAAAUAGCUAUCAAGAUAAGGCAGGUAUGUACUAAAAUCAGUGCCACUAAUACAAAGAUAGUAGAAAAAUGCAUACAUAGUUAACUUCAACAGAUCAAGCUACAACACAGAGUAAGCAUCUUGUUCUUAGCCCAGUGGAACACAAACAUAAUGUUCCUUACACACAUUUGGAAGAAAACCAACUAGUAUUAUGGUUAUCAUCAAAAAAAUGCUGCCAGGCUAUCCAAAUUUGAUCACAGAAUCAGGAGCUCUGAGGAACAGUCCCCCUACCCCACUGCUCUUGCCCCACCAACCACCCCACACAUGGGAUAGAACAGAUUAUUUUCACAUGGACUGAAAGCCUGAAUAGACUCAGAUGAGGGAAUAAAGAAAGCGUGGAGUUGAUUCUAUUUAAACAUGUAAAACUAUGCAUGUGUUUUGAAGAACCUCUCUGGAUAUGACCAAACCUGUUGCUGUCAGUAUAAAUCAAAUCAACACUGCAGAUUUGACUUCCUUUGCCCAGGCCCUUUCUAACACCUGCAAAGUAGGGAUGGAGGCUCAAUACCAUAUUUUAACGAUUUAGAAAUUUAGUAGUACUCAGGUUUAAUAUUAUUGCCAGACUCUCAGGAUUUCUAUGCUGGAAGGGGUCCAGGUAAUAGAUUAACAAGGCCCUAAUCUACGGCCCCUUUUCCUUGGCAUUUAGCAUCCCCACUGCACUGCCCAGCUCACGGCACAGGCCCUGGGUCAUCUUGUCUCCUGCCCUGUUUCAUGUUGUUUCACACGCACAGAUGGAUACCAAUAUGUGUGUCUAAGCUCUAUCCACAAACCCCUGAAAAAGCCCCUUGGGCCUAGAGGUAGAUCUGUUGGAGGCGUGGUUUCUCCUUAGAUGGAUAGACCAAAGAAGAGUCAGUCCAUGGAAGGAGGCUCAGGGAGAAAUAUCUCUGGGUCCAGGGUAAGAGGAACAUGAUCUUGAAGGGAGGCGGCACAGGGCCUGGGGCCUCUAAGCCCUGAGGAGGCGCCGGGCUAGGGCACAGUGUCCCGCUUGCCUGGGCCUUGGCUGAUGCUGCUUUGCCUCCCCUUCCCCUCCACUCCAAGCAUUGCAUUUCUUGUUUUGUUUCAUCUUUAUUAGCCUAGUUUCUUUUCUUCCAUAUUUAUCCUUAUAAUAUCCUUAUAAUAGUUUGUGAGACCUGCUUCUUAGACAGGGAGACAGGCAGCCCUCAGCAGGGCCUGUGAGCUGCGCUGGCAUCGUGCCAAUGCUGAGAGCGUGCUGUUGGAAUCAGACCUCUCUCCUGGUUUUCAGGGCCAUCACAGAGGGAGAAAGGGGACUGGGAAAUGGUUAUGACUCUGAGCCUCUUCCUUUUCCAAGCUAGGUGUGUGUGGUUAAACCGGUGGGCUGCACAGCAUUCCCCAGGGCCUCCUCACUCUAUUUGUACCCCAUGCAACUACCCUGACCACUGACCUCCUUUGGCUGCUUCAUCCUCACAUUUGACCUCAUCCCUCUCCCCCCAGCCUGCCUCCCACCUCUGCACUUUCUGUGGCCUUUGCCUUUCUUUUGGUGACUUUUGGAAUCCCCCUGUUCAUAGCAGUAGCUGUGGUGUCUGGGCUUUGUGCUCUUCUGCACUGUUUCUUCCCCUUAUUAUAGGCAGAGAUGUCCCUGGACAUCAUGCUGCAGCCCCCUCCCCACCAGCUCUGGACAGCCUGACCCAGGGCCACUAGUUCCAACCAGCGUUUAGCUUGGCUCAGUCUUCUCGUUGGAGCUAAAAUGUGGAUUUACAGGUCUAGACAUGUACAUAUCCAUGUAGAAAGGAAUGUUAGAAGUCAUCUCUAUAAUUAUUUAAGCAUCUUUUGGCCCAAAUUUCAUAUUUUAAGGAACAGAAAUCUGAGCCCCAUUGAGGUCACAUGCAAGGUCACUCAGUCCCCCAGGGACACGGCUGGGAACUUGCACUCAGGCCUUCCGACCUGUCUUCCACAUUCCUUCCCAUCCCCCAUGGUAACUCCCACCAUCACUUAAAAGGUUUUCCCUAUUUCUGCCAACCUGUAACUACUGGGACUAAUAAAAUGUAAGAAAGUCCACUCCAAGCAUUGCAUUUCUUGUUUUGUUUCAUCUUUAUUAGCCUAGUUUCUUUUCUUCCAUGUUUAUCCUUAUAAUAUCCUUAUAAUAUGCAUAUAAAAUAGAUCUGUGACUUGGUUCAUAUUAGAUUCUCCUUGAUCUUUGCCAUUUUAAUUAUUAUAUGUCUUGGUGUUGUCCUCCUUGGGUCCCUUGU